rnacentral:misc_RNA from 1 species
GUGAAUCAUCGAAUCUUUGAACGCACAUUGCGCCCCCUGUCAAAGGGGGGCAUGCCUGUCUGAGCGUCGUUUAAUCCUCUAGGGGCGUUCUCCUGAGCGCGACCUGUCUUGGGCCUCGCCCGUCGGCGUAGCCUCGAUGCCAUCGGUCUUGACUGUGGAUUAGUCCCUGUAGGGCGGGCCACGGCGCGACAGUAAUCUUGAAAAUUUGACCUCAGAUCAGGUAGGGACACCGCCUGAACUUAAGCAUAUCAAUAAGCGGAGGA